UACUUUUACGCGUAACGGUGCUAUAAAAAUGGGAUUGAACCCUACCACUCUUUUGUAAAAUAAAAAAUUCCGUUUCCUCUUUUCCUCUCUUUCUUCGUCGCAAUUUUUGAGCCCUUAAAAGCUCCUGGUGUGCAUAACCCGUCACCAAAGCAGACAGAGAAUUUCUCCAUUGCCGGCACAGAGAAAUUUGGAGAGAUGGCUCUUUCAAGAGCUCUCAAUUUCUGCAGGAGCUUUUCUACAGUUUCUUCCAAACCAUUACGUGUUUGCAUCGUGGGGAGCGGGCCUGCUGGGUUCUAUACUGCCGAUAAGAUUUUGAAAGCUCACGAGGGAGCUGAAGUUGAUAUAGUUGAUCGGUUACCUACGCCAUUUGGAUUAGUCAGGUCUGGAGUGGCUCCUGAUCAUCCUGAAACAAAGAUUGUGACGAACCAGUUUUCUCGGGUUGCUCAAAAUAGACGUUGCUCGUUCAUUGGGAAUGUCUCUCUUGGAGCAUCUAUAUCUUUGGCUGAGCUGCGUGAAUUAUAUGAUGCGGUGGUGCUUUCUUAUGGAGCUGAAAGUGAUCAAGCUCUAGGAAUACCCAGAGAAGAUCUGUCUGGCAUAUACGCUGCCAGAGAAUUUGUUUGGUGGUAUAAUGGCCACCCAGACUGCCGAAAUCUUGCACCAGAUUUGAAGAGCUCCGAUACUGCUGUUAUUAUUGGUCAGGGAAAUGUAGCUCUUGAUGUGGCGCGGAUCCUUUUACGACCAACUAGUGAAUUGGCAACAACUGAUAUCUCCUGCCAUGCUUUGGCAGCUUUAAGCGAGAGCUCCAUUAGAAAAGUGUAUUUGGUUGGAAGACGUGGAGCAGCACAAGCAGCCUUCACGGCAAAAGAACUGCGUGAAGUUCUACGUAUCAAGGACCUAUCCAUUGGAAUUCGGCAAGCGGAUUUAAGUAAAACCCCAGCAGAUGAGGAAGAACUAAAGAAUAACCGGAUUAAAAGGAGAAUUCAUGAACUGCUCUCUAAGGCAGCCACUCCUGCAACUUCCGUAUGCAAUCCAGGUCAAAAAGAACUGCACUUUGUUUUCUUCAGGAAACCAGACAGGUUCCUGGAAUCAGAUUGUAGAAGUGGUCAUGUUGGUGGUUUGCGGAUGGAGAGGACAAUUCUUAAAGAAGAUGUUGGAUCUGGGAAACAAAUUGCUGUUGGUACUGGACUUUUUGAAGAAAUGGAAUGCGGGCUGGUAUUGAAGAGUGUUGGUUACAAGUCGAUACCUGUUGAUGGCUUGCCUUUUGAUCACCGUAAAGCUUUGAUUGCGGCGUGGUCCAUCACUCUUGCAAAUUUAGAUGAUCAGGACCUGCUAUUCCAGGUAUUGUUCCAAAUGUUCGGGGACGUGUUUUAAGUGAAGCUUCUGAAGAUGCACAAGUCGAGAAAGGCUUGUAUGUAUGUGGGUGGUUGAAGAGAGGACCAACUGGGAUAAUUGCUACAAAUCUUUACUGUGCUGAAGAAACUGUCGCUAGCAUAUCAGAAGAUGUUGAGAGAGGAGCGGUAACAUCAAGAUCUGGCCUAUCUAAGUCCGGAAGGGAGGGCCUCCUCCAAUUGCUAGAUAGCAGGAAUGUCAAAAUUGUUCCAUUUGGUGGCUGGGAAAAGAUAGACAGUGAAGAGAAAAGAAGAGGUAGUCUGAAAAACAAACCCAGGGAAAAGCUUACCUCUUGGGAGGAUUUAUUAGAAGUUGCCACCAAGUGAUAGAAGUGUCUCCAAGAUGGCAGAUUUUGCUUACAUCUGUGGUUUUAUGGUAAAGCCCGAACUCUAUAACUCUUUCAGAUGUGUGCAUUGCUUUUAGCCCUCGGCAUUUAAUAGUAUUUGCUGUUCAUUCUUUCUUAGAAAAGAUGAUAAAUAAUCGGUUAGCUCUGUUUUGAGCUCUUCAGGUCCUGGAACCUUUUUCUGACAUGGUUGAGGCAGGGACUAGUGUUGUGCUUUGUAACACAGCCACCAUCAUUAAAGGCUCAGCUUAUGCAUUGAUUCCUCCAAUUUUUGGUGGUUAGUUGAAUAAGAUGAAGUGCAGUGCACACUAAAGCAAUUUAUGGGCAAUCGCCACACUUUGAAAUUAAAGUACUUUAGUUAUAUAAUCAUCUUUUGGGCUGACUGUUCAACAUGAAAA